UCUGAAAUGGGUAACAAUGUCAAAUAAAAUAAACAUCGUUUCAAAUUUGAGAAUUUAAAGACAAUUGAAAUAACUAAAUAGUUUGACCCCCAAUUUUACACUAUCAGAGCGACUCAAUAAGAUAGAGACCGCCGAAUUGAAAAGACGAAGACAUCCCUCUAAUGCCAUCUUCCGCAACCAAGUAGCUUAAGCUAUUUCUCUACCUGAGAAUUUGAACUCCCAGGAGUCCGGACAUAAAACAAAACAAAACAAAACAAAGGGGUGAGAAUAUAUUCACAAAGACAACGGUGUAUUAACACGUACGCAAGAAUAGGAAAAAACAAGAUAUCGUCGUUUAGACAAUCAGACACAUCACAUUUAUCAUCAAGCAAACAUAUCAAAACAAAACUCAAGAAAUAUAAUUAUAUUCUUAAUAUCACAACACAAAUAGAAGUAUGAGAUGUAAUCUUAGACACCUAAAUGCAUGUGGUACCAAGGUCGGAAGUCAAAGUUAUAUUAUUGAACAUUCUUCAACGGCAAUUGGACUAACACAUGAAUGUAUGCAUGAACAUUUAGGAUAGCCCGACACAACAACAAACAACGGCAAUUUGUAACAAAAACAUAUUGGCAUGCGCACUACAA
rnacentral:lncRNA from 1 species